UACACUCCUGCGGGAGGCAGCAGUGGGGAAUAUUGCACAAUGGGCGCAAGCCUGAUGCAGCGACGCCGCGUGGGGGAUGAAGGCCUUCGGGUUGUAAACUCCUUUCGCUAGGGACGAAGCUUUUUUGUGACGGUACCUAGAUAAGAAGCACCGGCUAACUACGUGCCAGCAGCCGCGGUAAUACGUAGGGUGCGAGCGUUGUCCGGAAUUACUGGGCGUAAAGGGCUCGUAGGUGGUUUGUCGCGUCGUCUGUGAAAUUCUGGGGCUUAACUCCGGGCGUGCAGGCGAUACGGGCAUAACUUGAGUGCUGUAGGGGUAACUGGAAUUCCUGGUGUAGCGGUGAAAUGCGCAGAUAUCAGGAGGAACACCGAUGGCGAAGGCAGGUUACUGGGCAGUUACUGACGCUGAGGAGCGAAAGCAUGGGUAGCGAACAGGAUUAGAAACCCCAGUAGUCCCAUG
rnacentral:rRNA from 1 species